rnacentral:rRNA from 1 species
AUUGAACGCUGGCGGCAUGCUUUACACAUGCAAGUCGAACGGCAGCGCGGGCUUCGGCCUGGCGGCGAGUGGCGAACGGGUGAGUAAUGCAUCGGAACGUGCCCAGUAGUGGGGGAUAGCCCGGCGAAAGCCGGAUUAAUACCGCAUACGACCUGCGGGUGAAAGCGGGGGACGGAAAGGCCUCGCGCUAUUGGAGCGGCCGAUGUCGGAUUAGCUAGGUGGUGGGGUAAAGGCUUACCAAGGCGACGAUCCGUAGCUGGUCUGUGAGGACGACCAGCCACACUGGGACUGAGACACGGCCCAGACUCCUACGGGAGGCAGCAGUGGGGAAUUUUGGACAAUGGGGGCAACCCUGAUCCAGCCAUGCCGCGUGCGGGAAGAAGGCCUUCGGGUUGUAAACCGCUUUUGUUCGGGAAGAAAUCCUCUGGGCUAAUACCCCGGGGGGAUGACGGUACCGGAAGAAUAAGCACCGGCUAACUACGUG